GUCUUUUUGAAUUAAAUUUAAAGUCUAACCUGCCCACUGAAAUUUUUUAAAUGGCCGCAGUAUUCUAACUGUGCAAAGGUAGCAUAAUCAUUAGUCUUUUAAUUGAAGGCUGGAAUGAAUGGUUGGACGAAAUAUUAACUGUUUCAUUUAAAUUUUUUAUAGAAUUUUAUUUUUUAGUCAAAAAGCUAAAAUAAAUUUAAAAGACGAGAAGACCCUAUAAAUCUUUAUAUUUUGUUUAUUUUAAUUAUAAAGAUUAUUUUUAUUAUAAUAAAUUAAAAUAUUUUAUUGGGGUGAUAUUAAAAUUUAAAAAACUUUUAAUUUUUAAAACCAUUAAUUUAUGAAUAAUUGAUCCAUUAAUAAUGAUUAAAAAUUUAAGUUACUUUAGGGAUAACAGCGUAAUUUUUUUGGAGAGUUCAUAUCGAUAAAAAAGAUUGCGACCUCGAUGUUGGAUUAAGAUAUAAUUUUGGGUGUAGCCGUUCAAAUUUUAAGUCUGUUCGACUUUUAAAUUCUU
rnacentral:rRNA from 2 species